CAACCUGAGAGUUUGAUCCUGGCUCAGAGCGAACGCUGGCGGCAGGCCUAACACAUGCAAGUCGAACGGAUCCUUCGGGAUUAGUGGCGGACGGGUGAGUAACACGUGGGAACGUGCCUUUUGGUU
rnacentral:rRNA from 1 species